GUACUCGUAAACAUGUUAACUGAAAGACUAGUGCUCUCGAGGCAAAUAUAAUUUAUGCAACUGUGAGCUGCUCUUACAUUGGGAUCAUAUGUAUUUAUUUCUAGUCUGCCUUAGCAGGCCUAGACUUCAAAGGUUUUUAGAUAUUCAUAGGGCCGUUAAACGGACCUUUUGUACACCUUGAGCAGGCUGUUUGUUUCACACUAUGAGUAAUAUAUAUUGUAAACAUAGCUUAGUUCAGAAUGGAAUCGUAAGCUCUGUCGUGUCGUGAGCUUACCGAGCCUGAUUUAAUUAGAGUCCACAGAUUAUCUGGACCUUGGAGGAUUGACCACUCCUUAUUCUAAUUAUCAAUAUUCUGCCUGGGCUUAUAGUCGAAAUUCAGCGACUAAAUUUCUUAGUAUUAUCUAUGCCGCCCAAGUUAUGAGGCUUAGCGUCUCCAGACCACAAUUUUAUUUAUAUAUUAGGUUGCAAAGAUUUUAUCAUCUUUAAAAUAAAAAUGAGUCGAGAUAGGCCUGGAAUCUUAGGUUAUUUUUUACCUUUUAUAAUUUUAGAAAUGUUAUUUUAAUUAGCCCAAUUUUGGGUUUAGCCAACAGGGUGUUCGGGACCCUUAGAAUA